GCUCCCGUAGCUCAACGGGAUAGAGCGCAUCCCUCCUAAGGAUGACAUGGGGGUUCAAGUCCCUCCGGGGGCACCA
rnacentral:tRNA from 1 species